UAUGCAUUCAUGUGCAUCGUGCAUUUCAUUCAGGUGCGAUAAUUAAUCACGUGAUGCGGAAGAUGACUCAAGUCGACCCCAAGCACGGGCUACUCCGCAUGGAGAUGCUGAUGAAUGAACCUGCCUGAUCAAGUGUUAGGACAAGGAUGAUCGUCAAGUGAUCGACGUCUAACAAACACUAACCUAGUGUUUCUUCCAGGCAAGCCCCGGUGCAUUUGCCCCUUCCUUGUGUUUUAAAUGCUUUUUCACCUUAUCUGAUGCAUUAGGUGAUAGGAGUUGUGUGAUAAACAAUUGAUGCAUUACCAUUCCUUGGAAACUCCUUAAUCCCGGUUUUAUAAAAAGAACUGAUAAUGCUUAGCCCUGCUUAGAAACUGAAAAAUCAUUUGUUUUCAAAAAGAAUGAUUGUGGCACAUUGGUUAUGGGCCUUUCGUUUCAAAAAUCAAAGCAAACUUAUGGUGAUGAUUCCACUUCGGCCGGAGUGGGUUCAUCAUUUGGAAAAGAGUACCCCUGCCGGGUACCAAAAAUGGGAAAAUGGUUCGAAUACAUCUAGACCAGACGUUGAGCGGACAUGGUCGCCCGUCUGUGUCGAUUAAGGACCGUUCGAUGUAGGCCUGAUGAGGUGAGACUUUGCAACUAACCACAUGCUCCGAUAAGCCUGAACCUGGCUAUUCCAUACGUGAAAAGACAACCGCGCACUGGGCGUGGGAGAUGGUGGGAGUAGCGUGUACCCUCCUGGCUAGAGGCUGGAUGGAGGAGUACUGUGCUCCCGGGUAGCGCGGACCGGUUCACGUUGUGGAGGAUCUAUGGGAACGGUUGACAUAUGCAAGGGUUAAGUGCUACAUAUGUCGUGUGGUUAGGGAUCCCCAGCUGGGUAUAAUCGGUUCGAAUCGUCGUUGCUCCUCGGUUAUGGAGACUCGACUCACUGACCACUCAUCGUAGUUGACAAGUGAAACAUGAUUGUAGUUGGUUAAAAGAAAGCUAGAUAAGGACAAGUGAAUGCUCUAGAUUAGGCAAAUCUAGAUUCAGGAAAAGUACUAAACUUGUGAAGUAAAAUUUUGGCAUAAGGAUUUACUAUUAGUAAGCUCUUCUGCAAAACAGAGUCUUUGAUUCUUGAUAAGCCAUACCUUGACUCCCUCUAGCCAGCAUACCCUUGAGAGUCUUUUCUUUAGUCGGGUAAGUCUUGCUGAGUAAUUACGUACUCAGGGUUUUAUUCCCUGUUGUUUUUCAGGUCAUAGUUUUGUGCUGCUGAUGGUGGUGUUAAGUGCCGGUGGGCUCGGCCUUCUUAUAAGUUUAAGUAACCCUUCUAUACUUCUUAAUGAGGAUGGUCCCUUGAGCUAGCAUAUAUAUUUCAAACUUAUACUUUUGCAAUCACUCCGAUAAAAUAAUGUAAAAUUUUUGUAACUUGUAAAAUUUGGUAACAAGAUUUCCGCUGCAAAAAUAUUGGUGUGUGUGAUUUGUGUUACUUAAUCCCACAGUUCUGGUUGUAAGUGGUUUAUCCGGUGUCCUUGGGGCAAUCGGACGGAUCCUGUUAAGUUAUCUGGUGCACAUGCAUAGCAGUCUGAGGUCUUUGAGACAAGGACAGGUGCAUGUGGACCCAAUAACUUGGGAGGUUCUGCCACAGCUGGUAUCGGAGCAGGAUUAAGUAUAAUACGGUCACAUACGUAUUUUAAAAACAAAGUUUUGGUUUUAGAAAACCUAUUUUCAACUAAACCCAUUGUUUGGCUUUGAAAAACUAUAAUGCUAGCGACAUCCUCUAUUAAGCCCUAAAUUAAGGACUAUUAGGUGGCUUAGUUUAAAACCACUAACCCACAACCGGGGGUAUUGCAUACAUGUGUAUUGUUAUUUUUAAGGCCAUUCAGUUUUGAAUGGAUCGACGCUCAAGGUAAGGUGAGAUGUGAGAGCAUGACCGAACAAACGUCGGUCUAGGGAAGUGCUUAAUUGAAGCGCUUGAAUAUAUACAUGUUCUACAUAUGUAUAUAUGAAGGCUGCGAUGUGGAGUAAUUACUUUUCCGGGAAUUUAGUACCCCAUGGAUGUGUAUGGGUAUACAGACAUGGGACUACUGAGAAGUGUAAUGUACUUGCAACGACGCACCUACGCUCAGGUAAGAAGGUAAGUUACCAUAAUGAGUUGCCCUAUGGUUAAAGUGUGGCAACGGCGCCUAUGCGUGGCUCGGCGCUUAAUGAUGAGCUGGCCUCCAUAUAGCAAUAUAUGGAGUAUAAACUGUGAUAAACUGUCAUGUGUGAAUUGCAUCAUGGGCAAAUGGGUUGUGAUGAAUUUUCUGCAGGUACACUAACCUCGAAAACGUAUGUGUAGUUGACGACUAGUAAAAUACCGUGAGAGUCGUAAGUAUGCCACCGAGAUAGAACGCUAUCGCCACAUUAUGUUGGCAAAAUCAGUGAGGACGAAUAAGACGAGCAUGCAUCCUGAUUGUUGCAUCAUGUUUGUCACCUAUACACCCAAAAUGCUACUCUCAUCCUUAUUCUAGUAACCAUUGAUUGUAGAUAAUGUGGUGUAAUGCUGAAUUAUGAACUUCGAUGAAAUAGGUGUCCUCCAUUCUUUAGGUAACCUAUUAAGGUCUUAUAUGGUGUUUGCUCUUGUGCUUGAUGUGUCGAUAGAAGGUUAGUGACUUGUUUGCCUAAACCCAAAAUUAGGCCAUGUUCUUAUCUGGUAAACCUAGACCCAAAUUUGAAUUUACCAUUAUCCCUCCUUGACUAAAAUCAUGUAAAUGAAUGCUUAGAUAAUUUCCUUUGUUGUACAUAAAGUGUACCCAAGUUUAAAACAAGGAUCUCAAGUCAUGUCUCCUUUCAAAACCAUUCCCUUGUUCCGUUGGUGCAAGCUGAUAUCCCUAAUUCCAUUUUGCCUCUUCUUGAGGAUCAUGUCAUUAUUUUAUCAACCCAACCCAGAAAAGACAGGUUUGAUCAUUUUCUUGAGUUUGAUGCCUUUGGUUUCCCCAUACCUAUCGCAGGCAUACCAACUUAAUCCUUGACCUUGUGAUCUCUGCGAUGGGCAUAGAAAUAUGCUUGGGGCUGAAAUAACAGUCUCCCAUCGUACUUCUUUCAUUCAGUUUAGGUUAUGGCCAUGUCUUGUUCAUUUCAUCGGGCCAUGAUCUAUUUGGCUCUCUACUUGUAACCAUUUUUACAGGUGGAGUAAUUCUUUGUAUAUUGUCACCCUUACUCAAUUCAUUUGUGUCGCGUGAAAUUUCUUAUUGGUUACGUCUGGUAAUGGCGUUAUGACUAAAAUUGAUGAUGCCGCGACGAAACCGAGGUCCUUCUGUGUGUGCGCACACAUGGUUGUGCUGCUCGGCACGCGUUGGUAUCACCAUUAGUAGUUGUAAUCCAUUAUGAGACUAUGUCAAUGCGUUAUCUUGGCACCAUAUGUUUUUGCUACGUAAGAUUCGUUAUUGGUGCCAGUUCGGUAGUGGUGUCACGAUUAAGGACUUAUGGUGCCGCAGCGAAACUGAGAGCCUCCUGUGAAUGCGCACACAGGGUUGUGCUACUCGUCGGAUGCUGGUAUCAAGGUCUCUAGUCAUGAUCCAUUGUGGAACUACACUGAUGUGUGAUCUUCCGUGGACUCCUUCCUUGAAACAAUUUCUAUGUUGUUUGUCGAAGUGACCAAGCAACACCUAUCAUCUCCGUUGGAUCAAAAGGGGCAUACUACUUUCAUGUGUGGUCUUAUUUCUUUUGAUCUUGGUGGUGACUACUCAUACAAGUUCCUUUUACGUCCUUUGUGUAAAGGUGCAGCCUUGGAGCUCUUUAGUGUUGGAAAACAACUGAUUAGCUCUCAAAAUGGAGAUUAGUUUUUCCCUGCUGCUGAGAUGCAGGAGUUUGUUCAUUCGCUCUUUUAUUUAAUCCAUGUAUUCCCGAACCUAGUCCAUUCAUCUCGCACGAAGAAACAGGUGAACAACCUGACCAAAUGGACUUCUAUUCAAAUACAUGAUCUCUUGUUAACCAGAGUGAACUCUCGGCCAUUGGACUGCCGAUGGUACUGAGAGGACUUGCUCGAUGUCAAAAGUAGUUCAACAAGUUGGCUUUACUAACUUGUAACUGCCCAAUGAACAAAGGUUGAGUUUAGAGAUCGUUUUGUUGAAUUGUCUAAACUCACUUUUGUUCAACCCAUCCUAAGAAGGUACUUAUAAGAAUCAAGAUUAAGUCGGCCAAUAACCACCUAAUCAUUGCUCUAAUCAUGCCUCGAUCGCCUCACGUGUGCUUUUCCAGCGUGUGUGAUCAAGUCGAGCCAUGGUUAGUGCUUGAUAAAAUGGGUUGGUUGUGAAGUCAACAUCAACGGAUCUCUUCAUUGAUAUUUUUCGAGUCUCUAUCAUUUUUCUUGAACUUGGAUUUCUGGGCUAGCCACGGAUCAACUGUGAUGUUAUUCGACAUUCACACCCAUCUCGUGUGCUAUGAACUUACCGUGACCACUUGUUGGUAAACCUCUUUCUGUGUGUUUUACCCAAGAGGUUGCAUCUGGUUCUGUUUGGGUAAAGUCGCAUAUCUACCGCUCGCCCAACAGACUCAGAUAGUACAAUGUCAUCAGGAAAAAGUAAACUGCACACAUGGAACCUUAUGUGUUCUUCUCGCGGACAUUGUCUCUACUAAUGGACAUUUCUAAAUUAACCUAAGGCGAUACAUGCUAUGUCCACUAGAGAAACAACAUUCUGAGACACUCGCCUUUGCUUGGAACUGCCUCAACUACCGCUGAUAUGGACAUGGGUGACCUGCUUCUCCACUCUUAAAAGUCUUUCGCUCCGAAUCUCGGGACGAGAUUCUUUUAAGGGGGGAGGGUUGUAACACCCCAGGUGUUUAUAUUCCGCUUGACAACGAGCACAGAUUUAAGCAUGUAAUCAGUGAAUAAAACAGAUGUUAAAUUUUAAACAUCUUCGUCUGUCGCGAUUUCAUUAUCGCAUCUGUUUCGUCUGUCACGAGUUCGACAUCGUUUUUAUCUAUCCGGGCUCUUCCGAAAUUUUCGUGAUGUUCGGAACAUUGUCAUUCCGAAAAUCGGUGCGUUCGGUGGUUAUUUAAAAUUCAUCGCUCGCGCAAAUACGAAUUUGGAGCCUCGAUCGACUCUUGAGAUUUUUGUCCCCGACAAAUGAAUUUGAACUCGACGACUAAAAUAUCGAAUCUAAUCUCGUCCGGUUUGAACCCGUCUACAGCUCGCUCCCGUGACGAUGCUGGCAUCGUCUCCGGGAACUCCGAUUGUGAUGCCGCAUUCGGCUCUAACGGUUUAAAAUUUAUUCCUUUCUAAAGUAUCGAGUCUAGUGCCAGUUUAAAAAUUAAUCGGUCAAGACGAGCUAAGAUUUUCGUCUAAGUAUUUCGCUCGAUUUAAGUCAUCUCUAUAAAUUCGGUACAUGCGCUAUUUGGGGUAGGCUUUUCAAAUAAAUCGAAAUCGGAACCAUUGCUGGCCAAUUAUGUUUCCUGUUUCAAAAUCCAAGAAAAAUCUUUCUCACAGUGUUCUCUCUCCUUAUCUCCUCACGUACACUACGCAGAUUUUUCUAGUCUUCGUUCUCAUCCACGCACGGGAGGAAAAUCUUCUCUGCGCUUCUAUCCACCACCGCUCAAUCGUUUGAUUUUUUUUUUCGCGCAAGCUUCUUACCUCCUGCGCGCAGAUUGCUUCUUCCUGCUGCACGGCAUGCCGGAGAAAGAUAUGUCUCUCAGAUUUUUUCUUCUCUACCGAUUGCUUUGCUCCUGGCGUGAUUUUUUUUCUCUGCGAUUGAUCUCAUCCCUGCACGGCUCUAGUGGAAAAAUCCCGCCGCCCCUGGGCGCUUCAAAAAUCCAGCCGACGCUCGCCCCUAUCUUCUUCCUCAGCCCAGCCGUCUUCCUGGGCAACCGCGUCUCCUUCUUCCUCCCCCUGCGUCCCUGUUCGGUUCCUGCGCACGCUGACUCCCUGCGUCGCGAGCUUCAGCUCGGAUUCCCCCUCCCAUGGCUGCCGAGCAGCUCGCCGGAAUUCCACGCUCGGUGCCUGGAUCUCCCUCCCUGCAGCUCGCUCUCUCUCCCUAGCUCGCUCGCUCCUGGCCUUCCCCUGCCGGCGCGCCUGUUCCCUGGCCGAAGCCACCUGGUCCCAGGUCCGGUCGGCCGGCUCAGUUUUUCCCAGUGCCGCGCGUCGUGCUUCCCCUUCCAGCCGACCGAAGCUCCAGCUCCAGCCAGGCGCGUCCGGCUCCCUAGGCGCUUGACCAUCUGCUCGCCUGCUUUCCUGCCAGUGCUGCCCAGUGCCUCUCUGCUAGCCGCGCGCCCCUGUCUUAUUUCCCUGCGCACCGUCGUGUCCUCAGCUAGCCGGCUGCGACCCCUGCUCGGAUUUUCCCCUAUGGCCGGAACCUUUUUCCUGGCCGCAGCUCAGAUCUCCGGGGCCGCGAGCUCCCCUAAGCUCGCCAUGGCGAUUUCCACGGCUGGCAGCUGACCUUCCUGUGUCGCGUCCUGACUUUACCCAAUGCCCGGUCGAGCUCUCUGACCGCCGCGCCGUGAAUUUUCCUGCGCGCGUGUCUCCUUGCUCACGCGUCGCCGUCGAGUUCUCUGGUGUUUGCGUGCCAUGAAGUUCCUCUAGCGCCGUGGCUUCCCAAUUCCAUCUAGUCACGCGCGCGAAUUUUCUUCGCCUCAGCCUUAGCUCGUCGGUCACGCUCGUCAGAUGUGCGAUCGAGGACUUCAGCUGAAGGCCGUCGUCAGACAACUACCAAAUCGAGUUGUGAUAUGGUGAGCCGAUUUACUAUUUUUAUUAUCGGUUUUAUGAUCGUAAAAUAAGACAUUUCGUAUACAUAUACGAUUAAGUUAGAAAUACUAGUAAUGCGAGGUGUGCACUUGGUAAUUAUGGCUAGAUUCGUUUUUAUGUCGUUAGGGUGUGUGAUAUUAGGGAGUCGAUGAUAGAAGUGAAAUUCUAGCUAUUGGGCGAUGACGGGAAGGACGUUGUUCAUCGCGUGCUUAAUGUUUGAUGGAUAGUAUGAACUGAAAUCAUAGCCGUUCUCACGAAUUUUGUAUCGACUAGUAAUAGUACACUGGUUCGCUAGUUUUUAUUAUUAGUUCAAGGCUUGGAUUAAUUAGUUAUAUUAGUUGCGUCAGUUCUCUGGACGGUAGUAACCGUGCGUUGUGGUUGUAUUAAUUGUUUAUUAAAAUGUUUCAUCGUAUAUAGUGUAUUGGUUUAUAUAAAUAUAUACAUAUGAGAUGUGUAGGUGAUGAGUAGGAUAGGUUUAGUGUUCUAAUUAAUUAGCUGAUAAGUUGUGUUUAGGCUAAUUAUAUUAAAUAUGUAUUGUUUGUUAUUUCAUGAUGUUUGCGUUAGAUUCGGUUAAUCUAGAGAAGCGUACUUAUUGCGCUCAGUCGUACAUCGAUAACUAGUGUUUUAGUAUAAAAUUGUACAACGCCUCGCCACUAGGUGUUUAAUGCGCUAUCGUAUAGCACUAUUUAGAUUUGUGCUAUUUCUGUUAAUAUGCAUUCAUGUGCAUCGUGCAUUUCAUUCAGGUGCGAUAAUUAAUCACGUGAUGCGGAAGAUGACUCAAGUCGACCCCAAGCACGGGCUACUCCGCAUGGAGAUGCUGAUGAAUGAACCUGCCUGAUCAAGUGUUAGGACAAGGAUGAUCGUCAAGUGAUCGACGUCUAACAAACACUAACCUAGUGUUUCUUCCAGGCAAGCCCCGGUGCAUUUGCCCCUUCCUUGUGUUUUAAAUGCUUUUUCACCUUAUCUGAUGCAUUAGGUGAUAGGAGUUGUGUGAUAAACAAUUGAUGCAUUACCAUUCCUUGGAAACUCCUUAAUCCCGGUUUUAUAAAAAGAACUGAUAAUGCUUAGCCCUGCUUAGAAACUGAAAAAUCAUUUGUUUUCAAAAAGAAUGAUUGUGGCACAUUGGUUAUGGGCCUUUCGUUUCAAAAAUCAAAGCAAACUUAUGGUGAUGAUUCCACUUCGGCCGGAGUGGGUUCAUCAUUUGGAAAAGAGUACCCCUGCCGGGUACCAAAAAUGGGAAAAUGGUUCGAAUACAUCUAGACCAGACGUUGAGCGGACAUGGUCGCCCGUCUGUGUCGAUUAAGGACCGUUCGAUGUAGGCCUGAUGAUGUGAGACUUUGCAACUAACCACAUGCUCCGAUAAGCCUGAACCUGGCUAUUCCAUACGUGAAAAGACAACCGCGCACUGGGCGUGGGAGAUGGUGG
rnacentral:lncRNA from 1 species